ACUUCAUUUCCUCUUUCCCUUUAGUUUUCUUUCACUCUUUCACAUCUGUUGGUGCAACUACAAAUCUUACAGAUAAUUAGAGAUCAAUAUAUUUCAAGGAGAGAAACAGAAGCAAAGAGAUGGGUCAUUGAUUGUUUGGGAUGAGAGAAGACGCAAGGCUGAAUUGGUUCUGUUUUGUGGUAAGAUUCAAGAAAAAUCGUUUUUUCUCAACAACAGUGAUUGAAUCCGGAGAUGGUGGCUGAGAGCGUAGACGGCAGUGAAGAAGAAGGUGUUGCUGCCAUGGGUUUCAGUUUGUAUUGGCUGUAUGGAGCUCAGAUUAGGGAUGGGUUUUGUUUGGUAAUUUUCUAUAGAACAAGGAUGGAAGCCCGAGAUGAAUUCCGUUAUGAAAUUGAAGAUAGAAACUGAUGAUGAUUUGGUUUGGUGUCAGAUCAAACUCAAGCUCAGUGGAGGAGGAAAGCAAAGAAAUGAGGACUGGUGUUGGUAUUGUUGCAGUGAGGAUUAAUUACAGGAGGUAUAAUUUGGAGUCUGUUGAUUGUAGAACUGGUGGUGUUCAAUGAUUCGAAUUAGGGUUGCUGCUGCCGAUUAAUGGCUGUAUACAAGAAGAUUAAGCAACAGAUUUUGGGGGUCUUACUAUCGAUUGAAAUUGGGUAUGUAUUAUUAGGUCAACUGGUGAUGGUGGUGGUGAAAGCAACAUCAAGAUAUGUGGGCACUCGAAUGGAAGAAUGGCAACCAAAUUGGGAUCCGAGGCAUGAACUGAAUUGGGGGUUUUAGUUCUCUGAAGAAAUUAGCCAACAAUGAAGAAGUUGGGAAGGUCGAUUGAAGGCAAGCAGAAAGGUGUUGCUGCCAUGAAUGUUGUGAUUAUGAAAGACAGGUCAGUGGACGGAGUCGGGGGGUCUUACUAUCGAUUGAAAUUGGGUAUGUAUUAUUAGGUCAACUGGUGAUGGUGGUGGUGAAAGCAACAUCAAGAUAUGUGGGCACUCGAAUGGCAACCAAAUUGGGAUCCGAGGCAUGAACUGAAUUGGGGGUUUUAGUUCUCUGAAGAAGUUAGCCAACAAUGAAGAAGUUGGGAAGGUCGAUUGAAGGCAAGCAGAAAGGUGUUGCUGCCAUGAAUGUUGUGAUUAUGAAAGACAGGCCAGUGGACGGAGUCGGGGGUCUUACUAUCGAUUGAAAUUGGGUAUGUAUUAUUAGGUCAACUGGUGAUGGUGGUGGUGAAAGCAACAUCAAGAUAUGUGGGCACUCGAAUGGAAGAAUGGCAACCAAAUUGGGAUCCGAGGCAUGAACUGAAUUGGGGGUUUUAGUUCUCUGAAGAAAUUAGCCAACAAUGAAGAAGUUGGGAAGGUCGAUUGAAGGCAAGCAGAAAGGUGUUGCUGCCAUUAAUGUUGUGAUUAUGAAAGACAGGUCAGUGGACGGAGUCGGGAAAGAGUUCAGUUAAGAAGGUAUUAGUAGUUGGAGAGUUCAUGGCAACAGCUCUCUACUAGGUGUUGCUGCACGUGAUUGAAUGGGAUCUGGUGUUUGUGUUGUGUAAGCAAUUUCUAUGAUGUAUUCCAACAUUUAGCUUUGAUUUGGUACGAGUUCUAUCUACUCAACAGUAUGGCGAGGACAAAGUAUUUGGAAGGUUCAUCUGGUUGCAGCUGGUGAUUACAUUGAACGAUGAGAAGAUGGAGAAAGUGAUGCUGUUGCCAGAUCUGAAUGGAGAUGGGAAUCAGCACGAGCAAUGCUGUAUACAAUGGGCAGAGGCUGGACUUCACUGAAGGCCUGUAUUUGACGAUUGGCGCUCAUGAAUGGACUGGGCUUUGGAGGUGCUGCUAGCGGCCUUAAAGGGGAGAUGCCUAUAAAUACUCACUACACAGACUCAAAACAGGGAUGCCGAAUACAGUGAGAAACCAGGGUUUGAGCAUUUUUACAAGUUUUUCAAUUGUUUGAGUUUAUUUUCUUGAGCAUUUCUAUGGCUUUUGAGAAAGCCAUGACUUGCUAAACCAUUGUUAGGGUGUAGGGAUGAACUUGUAGGUUAGAUCAUUUGUGUUUAUGAACAAGAGUUUCUUUAAAUCAAAAGCUUAAUUUUCUGUUUGAGUAUCUCAUAUUUGUGGAUUGUUCUUAUAAAUCUUUUCAUGUUUUAUGCCAAGUAUACUAGAUAGGUAAGUUAUAGACAAUCCCAUUGAGACCUGAUUCACAUUAGAUUUAUGAAUACUCUUCUACUUUGUAUGCAUGUAUACAUAGUGAUUAGGGGUUCUACUUUUAGGUCGAGAUUAAACAAUCUUUCGUCGAUUAUUAUCAAUAGUUCUUAACGACAUAUCUUCCAUGUAUUAGUCGCUGUGUGUUGCUGCUUUACAUGAGUAAUAUAAAACACAAGUAAUCAUAACUUGCAACGGAUUCCCGGAUCCUUAACCUUUUCUCACUUUGCUUGUCACUUUAAUAGUUUCAUUUACAUCCAAUUUAUUUGCUUAUUUCUUAGAAUUCAUAAAAUCUCUUGAAUCGAUAUUGAUUAGGAAGUUAGUUGUAUUAGCUAGAAGUAGUUUACACUCCUCGUGGGAACGAACCACAUUUGCUAUUGUCUACAUCAUCGACACCGUGCACUUGCGGUAAAACAAAGGCGGUUCUUCGAUCCAUCAAGUUUUUGGCGCCGCUGCCGGGGAGUGGCUGCUAAUUACUCUAGUUUAUACUCUUGAAUUUUCUAGUUAUAGUUUUUGUACAUAGUGUAUUUUUGUUUUUAGUUUCUUUUCAUAUUUUUCUUUUAGAAUUUUCUUUCAGGUACUUUUGUUGCGGCAAUAACGUGUUAUCGAGAGAAUGAGUCCAGGCCUUUCGGAGAAUUCAUGUAUGGACCACAAUAUCAGGAGAUUUGGGAACAAAAUCGUUUCAGGCUUUACAUAUAUGCUGGUAGGAUGUUGUUGUUGUUAUGCAUCAUUCUUCACUUCGGAUGAGAUUACUUGAUGCGCGCAAGCUGGGAAACAAAUAUCAUUUGCUUCAUGGGAGUCAACCCAUCAGAUUUGUUUCCUUUACUCUACCUUCUAUUUCUGUUUUCCUAUUGCAUAUCAUAUUUUAGAAUUUCCCACCUUAACUCUACGUCGGAUGACUCAAUUACAUUGAGGAGAAUGUAAAGUUUAAGUGUGGGGGAGUGGUUAACCAUAUAUACUUGUGGUAGGCAUUCACUUUAGUUAUGAAUUUUGUUAAAAAAAAUAAAAAACAAAACAACAACAACAACAAUUUUUUCUUAAUUUUUUUUAAUGAUUUGACCAACUGUUGAGCGGGUCUUUUAAGAAAAAUUUGAACGACAUGACUAGCUGUUGAGCGGUCUUUAUGAUUAUCUGUCUAGCUGUUUAGCAGACUUAUUUAAACCACUGUUUAGUGGUUCGCCUUACUGUUUAGCGGGUUUCUCUCAACCACUGUUUAGUGGUUCCGUCUAGCUGUUCAGCAGACGUCUCUCCAUAUCCAGCUGUGUAGCAGAUGUAAUUUUUUCUUGUUUUUCUCGGGACUAGCAAAAUGUAAGUGUGGGGGAAUCUGAUAAGCAUGCUAGUGCGACACUUUUAUACCUACAUUUAUACUAGCUAGGUGUCGAUAUCUCGUUAAUAUUUAUAUUUUAGAACUUUUACAUGAGAUACAAGCAAGUUUGUUCACUCAGAAAAUAAAUGGCUAAAUGGGGAGUUAAAUGGCGUUUGUGACAAAAUAGCCCAAGGCACCAAAAGAGACGGGGCACAUGGUGGUCUGGUUGUUCAUUUUCGCUCAUGUUGGUUACCAUCUAAACCACCUGCUGGGCUACAUCAUUUCACGGACAGAAAAUGGUGAAACAAGAAUAAGUGAGACGUGGCAACCUGUACACCACCACAUCUCUUUUCUUGUAGUAAUCAAAACAAGAGAAAACUUCAUUUCCUCUUUCCCUUUUAGUUUUCUUUCACUCUUUCACAUCUGUUGGUGCAACUACAAAUCUUACAGAGAAUUAGAGAUCAAGAUAUGUCAAGGAGAGAAACAGAUGAUGAGACAGAAGCAAAGAGAUGGGUUAUUGAUAUUUUGGGAUGAGAGAAGACGCAAGGCUGAAUUAGUUCUGUUUUGUGGUAAGAUUCAAGAUAAAUCAUUUUUUCUCAACAGCAGUGAUUGAAUCCGGAGAUGGUGGCUGAGAGCGUAGACGGCAGUGAAGAAGAAGGUGUUGCUGCCAUGGGUUUCAGUUUGUAUUGGCUGUAUGGAGCUCAGAUCAGAGAUGGGUUUUGUUUGGAAAUUUUCUGUAGAACAAGGAUGGAAGCGCAAGAUGAAUUCCAUUGUGAAAUUGAAGAUAGCAACUGAUGAUGAUUUGGUUUGGUGUCGGGUCAAACUCAAGCUCAGUUGAUGAGGAAAGAAAAGAAAUGAGGACUGGUGUUGGUAUUGUUGCAGUGAGGAUUAAUUGCAGGUGGUAUAAUUUGGGGUCUGUUGAUUGAAGAACUGGUGGUGUUCAAUGAUUCAAAUUAGGGUUGCUGCUACCGAUUAAUGGCUGUAUACAAGAAGAUUAAGCAACGGAUUUUGGGGGUCUUACUAUCGAUUGAAAUUGGGUCUGUAUUAUUAGGUCAACUGGUGAUGGUGGUGGUGAAAGCAACAUCAAGAUGUGUGGGCACUCAAAUGGAAGAAUGGCAGCCAAAUUGGGAUCCCAGGCAUGAACUGAAUUGGGGGUUUUAGUUUUCUGAAGAAAUUAGCCAACAAUGAAGAAGUUGGGAAGGUCGAUUGAAGGCAAGCAGAAAGGUGUUGCUGCCAUGAAUGUUGUGAUUAUGAAAGACAGGUCAGUGGCCGGAGUCGGGAAAGAGUUCAGUUAAGAAGGUACUAGUAGUUGGGAGAGUUCAUGGAAACAACUCUCUACUAGGUGUUGCUGCACGUGAUUGAAUGGGAUCUGGUGUUUGUGUUGUAUAAGCAAUUGUGGUGAUGUAUUCCAGCAUUUAGCUUUAAUUUGGUACGAGUUCUAUCUACUCAACAGUAUGGCGAGGACAAAGUAUUUGGAAGGUUCAUCUGGUUGCAGCUGGUUCUUACAUUGAACAAUGAGAAGAUGGAGAAAGUGAUGUUGUUGCCAGAUCUGAAUGGAGAUGGGAAUCAGCAUGAGAAAUGCUGUCUACAAUGGGCAGAGGCUGGACUUCACUGAAAGCCUUUAUCUGGCGAUUGUUCUUAUAAAUCUUUUCAUGUUUUAUGCCAAGUAUACUACAUAGGUAAGUUAUAGACAAUCCCAUUGAGACCUGAUUCACAUUAGAUUUAUGAAUACUCUUCUACUUUGUAUCCCAUGUAUACAUAGUGAUUAGGGGUUCUACUUUUAGGUCGAGAUCAAACAAUCUUUUGUCGAUUAUUAUCAAUAGUUCUUAACGACAUAUCUUCCAUGUAUUAGUCGCUGUGUGUUGAUGCUUUACAUGAGUAAUAUAAAACACAAGUAAUCAUAACUUGAAACGGAUUCCGGGAUCCUUAACCUUUUCUCA